rnacentral:rRNA from 1 species
AGAGGGUGCAAGCGUUAAUCGGAAUUACUGGGCGUAAAGCGAGCGUAGGUGGCUUGAUAAGUCAGAUGUGAAAGCCCCGGGCUUAACCUGGGAACGGCAUCUGAUACUGUUAGGCUAGAGUAGGUGAGAGGAAGGUAGAAUUCCAGGUGUAGCGGUGAAAUGCGUAGAGAUCUGGAGGAAUACCGAUGGCGAAGGCAGCCUUCUGGCAUCAUACUGACACUGAGGUUCGAAAGCGUGGGUAGCAAACAGGAUUAGAUACCCUGGUAGUCCACGCCGUAAACGAUGUCUACUAGUCGUUGGGUCCCUUGAGGACUUAGUGACGCANCUAACGCAAUAAGUAUCCCACCUGGGAAGU